UACGGAGGGUGCGAGCGUUGUCCGGAAUCACUGGGCGUAAAGGGCGCGUAGGCGGCCGUGUAAGUCACUUGUGAAAUCCCGGGGCUCAACUCCGGGGCUGCAGGUGAGACUGCGUGGCUAGAGCUUGGUAGAGGCGAGUGGAAUUCCCGGUGUAGCGGUGAAAUGCGCAGAUAUCGGGAGGAACACCAAUGGCGAAGGCAGCUCGCUGGGACGUUACUGACGCUGAGACGCGAAAGCGUGGGGAGCAAACAGG
rnacentral:rRNA from 1 species